AAAGAAAUUCUCUCUCUCCUUCACCCCAAACUUUCGACCACCACCUCUCUCUCUUCUCUCUCACUUCACCUCCAUUGACAACCAUUAACGAGACCUUCGAAGCUUCACCAAAAUAUGCCAAACACAUAAAUCACCAACAAAAUCCCACCUAAACACCUCCUAUCAACUUGAAUCCAAGGAAAUCCUUGAAGAUUGGCUUCAAGACUAGUGAGAGAAAGUUUGAUAUUUGGUGUAAACUUGGACACAAGCAGAGCAAGGAAGUAAGUAACUCCGCUUUGACGGGAGAUUUUGAGUAAGGUCUUCAGGCUAAGCGAGGAGUGAGAUUGGUCUGGUGCUGAUGGGGGAUCGUUAGUUGAUGUAUUUACUUUAUCGUAUUUCCUUUUUAUCGAUAAAGUCUCGAUGUGAAGUUACUUUGAAUAUGAAUCAAGUAAUAUACUCACGGUUAUGUGUCUUCAUACAUAUAAUCGGUUCGCCUUU